CAGGACCCAGCAAGCAAUAGCCGUCAUUUCAACGUCUCGUUUCAGUAUAGACCCGAUAUAGCCGGGCUGUGCCUAGCCCAUAUCUAGCCCAAAUAAACUUUAAUUUGGUUACAUGUGGUUUUUGACAAAAUAAUUUGUGAGAUGUAUGCUAUUUCAUCAUGUAAGCAAAGUUAACAGCGAUUACAAGGUAUUUCGUUUCAUUUCUAUAAAGUGUUUUAUGCAUCGUCUGUACGUAGUCACAAUUUAGCUCAUAAAUAGACCGACUACGAAUAAACCACGUUUAGCCCAGAAAUAACCAUGAAUUUAAUUACAUGUUGUUUUUCCAAAAUGAUUUGUGAGAUGUAUAAUAUUUAAUCAUGUAAACAAAGUUCAAAGCGAUUAAGGUAUUUUGUUUCAUUUCUUUAAGGUGUUAUAUGCACCGUCUGUACUUAGCCACUAUUUAGCUUACAAAUAGACCGACUACGAAUAACCCACGUUUAGCCCAGAAAUAACCAUUAAUUUAAUUACAUGUGGUUUUUGCCAAAUAACUUGUGAGAUGUAUGGUAUUUCAUUGUGUAAGCAAAGUUAACAGCGAUUACAAGGUUUGUUUAAUUUCUUUAAAGUGUUUUAUGCACCGUCGUACAUAGCCACUAUUUAGCUCAUAAAUAGACAGACUACAAACAAACCAUGUUUAGCCCAGAAUAACCUUGAAUUUAAUAAAAUGUUGUUUUUGCCAAAAUAACUUGCAAGAUGUAUGAUAUUUCAUCAGGCAUGCAAAGACACCAGUGAAUUCAAGAUGUUUGGUUUUAUUUAUCUUAUCUGAAUAUCUGCUGUCACGCAUAACAUUCAUUAUUGAUAUACAAAAUCCAGUUACAACUCCGAACCGCUAGAUGGCAGCUGCAGUACACAAACACGAGGCCAAAUCUCGCGAGAAAGAUUUCCGGUGUUUGAAAAUCAACAACACCAACCAGCGAGCAGCCAAGGGGAAAGCAAUCUUCCACACUCGUUUGGUCUUGUGUCAAAGCUGUGUGAAACUGGAGGGAGAAACUUGAGAGACCGUGCCGGAAGAAUGCUGGACAGAGUUCCAUAAAAUUCAUUAAUUUCAAAGUUCAACAUGAAUGGUGGUGGUGGUCCACUGCAGAAGCAAGCAUUUGAAAAAACAUCAGCUCAGUUAUUAAAG